rnacentral:rRNA from 1 species
GACGAACGCUGGCGGCGUGCCUAAUACAUGCAAGUCGAACGAGAGCACCCGGUGCUUGCACUGGUCAAUCUAGUGGCGAACGGGUGAGUAACACGUGGGUAACCUGCCCAUCAGAGGGGGAUAACAUCCGGAAACGGAUGCUAAAACCGCAUAGGUCUUCGAACCGCAUGGUUUGAAGAGGAAAAGAGGCGCAAGCUUCUGCUGAUGGAUGGACCCGCGGUGCAUUAGCUAGUUGGUGAGGUAACGGCUCACCAAGGCCGUGAUGCAUAGCCGACCUGAGAGGGGGAUCGGCCACAUUGGGACUGAGACACGGCCCAAACUCCUACGGGAGGCGGCAGUAGGGAAUCUUCCGCAAUGGACGCAAGUCUGACGGAGCAACGCCGCGUGAGUGAAGAAGGUUUUCGGAUCGUAAAACUCUGUUGUUAGAGAAGAACAAGUGCUAGAGUAACUGUUAGCGCCUUGACGGUAUCUAACCAGAAAGCCACGGCUAACUACGUG